CAAUGUUCAGGAAAUAAUUUCCAAUUGGAAACAUGAAGGUUAAUCUGCCAAAUUUUUGACAACCAGUUCCUAAAAGGCAAUGGCCCAUUUUAUCAGCUUCAAUUUGGAAACGUAAAACAUUAUUUGGAGGAAGAAAGGGACAAGCCUUGAGAGUGUUCUCACUAUGCCUCUCAGGUAGUCUAUUUUAAUGAGGCUUAUCUAACAAAGUUCCCAGUAAUUUUGAAGAUGAACCUUGGUUAACUUGCUUUUCCUGCUUUAUAGGUUUCAGUUAUGCCCCAUUGAACCUGGCAGACCUAUCUCCCUUACUCUACAGGAAAGCCAUAGGAACUUUUCAUUAGGGGAGUAUUUUCUUGUAUUCUCCACAGUCAUCCAUGGUAAUGUGCUUUUAUGGCAUGCUGCAUAAAAUGAACUAAUCACAAAAGGUUAGAUGGUACAGAAAGGAGAUGGAGGCCUAUGACCUAAAGCAGAAGGUAGAUGGAGAUCUAUCAGCAGAUCUAUUGGCCUCAAUUGUCUAAGAAUGAUAACAUCUAAAAAUUCCCUUUCCUGGAAAGUCAGCUGCAAGAGGGGGAAAAAAAAGGAGUGGCUUUUUGUGUGAAAGUACUUGUCAGCUUGGUUUUGUAUUGAUUAAAAUGCUAGGGCUCAUA